rnacentral:rRNA from 2 species
UCUUUUUCCCCGGAGCUUGCUCCACCGGAAAAAGAGGAGUGGCGAAUGGUGAGUAACACAUGGGUAACCUGCCCAUCAGAAGGGGAUAACACUUGGAAACAGGUGCUAAUACCGUAUAACAAUCGAAACCGCAUGGUUUUGAUUUGAAAGGCUCUUUCGGGUGUCGCUGAUGGAUGGACCCGCGGUGCAUUAGCUAGUUGGUGAGGUAACGGCUCACCAAGGCGACGAUGCAUAGCCGACCUGAGAGGGUGAUCGGCCACAUUGGGACUGAGACACUGCCCAAACUCCUACGGGAGGCAGCAAUAGGGAAUCUUCAAUCUGGACGAAAGUCUGACCGAUCACGCCGCGUGAGUGAAGAAGGUUUUCGGAUCGUAAAACUCUGUUG